rnacentral:rRNA from 1 species
UACAGAGGGUGCAAGCGUUAAUCGGAAUUACUGGGCGUAAAGCGUGCGUAGACGGUUACAUAAGUCGGGUGUGAAAGCCCGAGGCUCAACCUCGGAACUGCCUUCGAUACUGCGGGUCUCGAGUCCGGGAGAGGUGAGUGGAAUUCCUAGUGUAGAGGUGAAAUUCGUAGAUAUUAGGAAGAACACCAGUGGCGAAGGCGGCUCACUGGCCCGGUACUGACGCUGAGGCGCGAAAGCGUGGGGAGCAAACAGG